rnacentral:misc_RNA from 1 species
AACGCAAAUUGCGCCCAAGGCUUCGGCCGAGGGCAUGUCUGCCUCAGCGUCGGCUUUCAUCCUCGCCUCCUUUCCCCGGUUAACAUCGAGGAACUGUUGGCGGACCUGGCCCUCCCGGCUCGGUCAGAUUCGUCUGACUCCGGGUCGGCUGAAGCUUAGAGGCUUGAGCAUGGACCCCGUUUGCAGGGAAAUGGCUUGGUAGGUAGGCACCCCCUACGAAACCCUGCCGUUGCCCGAGGGGGCUUUGCUGGAGGCCUUGCCGGGUUCGACUGUCUGCCCUUGGCAGCUUCGAACGCUUCACACCUUCGACCUGAGCUCAGGCAAGACUACCCGCUGAACUUAA